rnacentral:tRNA from 1 species
GGCGUAGCUCAACGGUAGAGCAUCUGCCUUGUAAGCAGAGGGUUGGGGGUUCAAAUCCCUUCGCC